GACGAACGCUGGCGGCGUGCUUAACACAUGCAAGUCGAACGGAUUGCUUGGUGCUUGCACUGAGUGGUUAGUGGCGAACGGGUGAGUAACACGUGAGUAACCUGCCCCCUUCUUUGGGAUAAGCACCUGAAAGGGUGUCUAAUACUGAUUAUUCUGCUGGAAUCGCAUGGUUUUGGUUGGAAAGGUUUUUUCUGGUGGGGGAUGGGCUCGCGGCUUAUCAGCUUGUUGGUGGGGUAAUGGCUUACCAAGGCUUUGACGGGUAACCGGCCUGAGAGGGUGACCGGUCACAUUGGGACUGAGCUACGGCCCAGACUCCUACGGGAGGCAGCAGUGGGGAAUAUUGCACAAUGGACGAAAGUCUGAUGCAGCGACGCCGCGUGAGGGAUGAAGGCCUUCGGGUUGUAAACCUUUUUCGCUUUUGACCAAGGCAGCAUUUUGGUGUUGUUGAGGGUAUGAGGUAAAGAAGCUCCGGCUAACUACGUGCCAGCCGCCGCCGAAACAC
rnacentral:rRNA from 1 species